UUUAAGAUGUGAGCGUUUGAGGUGCUGGAAGUUAUUUUGGGUUGUUUGCCAGGAGGAGGUCCGGGUGACUACUACAGCUGCUGUCCCCUCACAAUCUUAAAAACAAACCGUAUUAAUUUUUGGAGAAUUCUUUAUUCAGCUCUGUGCUGACUUUGUUAAUGACACUGCAGUCCAUCUUUUUCACAAUGAGCAAAACUAAACAAAUACACAGGUCUGUUUGUCUUGUGCAUUUGCUCCUUGUUCAUCUUUGUGUAUUCUAAAAUAAGUCACAAUGUUCUAUAUACAGCAUCGCAAUUACAGUGCCCACAUCAUGCACCGUUAUGCAUUUAAAGUAGACCACGCAGCCGAGCGGCAACGGUCUGCUGUCCCGAAGGGCACCAGCCUAACCACUUUUCUUCAUUGUUUUGCAUUUGGAGUGCGGUGUGGUUUCCCCAGCUGUUUGUCUUUUCUUAAAUAAUGGCGUACAGCUGUGUGGAACCAAUCCUGCAUGAGAGCCGUUUACCUGAAUUACCUGUAUCAGCACUCUGCUUCUCUAAAGCAUACAGUCCGCGCAGCGCCGGGGCUGAAACGUUAGCAGUUGUGUAACAGGAGCAGGGCAUGCUGGGACAUGCAUCUAUGCCUAGACCCCGUCCACGGCAGGACUGUGUUUUAUUCUGCGGUCACACACAGUGUUGACCAGGGUCAUGUCAGAUUGGAGGUAACCGCAGUAUCAGUGUCAAAGCGGAUUUAAAGGUCACAUUUGAAAUGAGCGUUUUGAUUAUGUCUUGAUGUUAGAACGCAGUCGUCUCUUUGUCUUGGAAGUUUGAACGCGUGCGUUCUCUGCAACGCAGCACGUGGUUCUGUGGCUCUGUGAAUCUGAGCGGCUGUUGUUGUCCUGUUCCUCGGACGGUAUCGGGCAGGGUGCACACCUCUAAUUUGCUCCAACGUGGGCCUGACUGUCUUCAGUUCCCCCGUUUUGCACCUGCCAGCAAAACACUGCUUACAAAACUGGCAUGGGCCCAGUCUGCCCCCGGAUUAAAUGGUAGCAUUCUGAAAUGCGUGUGUGCUGCAGGUAACUGCCGAAGGCACGAAGCAUCCACAACAUGGAUCCUUUUCAAGGAGCGGUCUCACCUCUGUCUCGUAUUUGUCUCACCUCUGUCUCGUAUUUGUCUCACCUCUGUCCCGUAUUUGUCUCACCUCUGUCCCGUAUUUGUCUCACCUCUGUCCCGUAUUUGUCUCACCUCUGUCCCGUAUUUGUCUCACCUCUGUCCCGUAUUUGUCUCACCUCUGUCUCGUAUUUGUCUCACCUCUGUCUCGUAUUUGUCUCACCUCUGUCCCGUAUUUGUCUCACCUCUGUCCCGUAUUUGUCUCACCUCUGUCCCGUAUUUGUCUCACCUCUGUCUCGUAUUUGUCUCACCUCUGUCUCGUAUUUGUCUCACCUCUGUCCCGUAUUUGUCUCACCUCUGUCCCGUAUUUGUCUCACCUCUGUCCCGUAUUUGUCUCACCUCUGUCCCGUAUUUGUCUCACCUCUGUCCCGUAUUUGUCUCACCUCUGUCCCGUAUUUGUCUCACCUCUGUCUCGUAUUUGUCUCACCUCUGUCUCGUAUUUGUCUCGCCUCUGUCCCGUAUUUGUCUCACCUCUGUCUCGUAUUUGUCUCACCCCUGUCUCGUAUUUGUCUCACCUCUGUCUCGUAUUUGUCUCACCCCUGUCUCGUAUUUGUCUCAUCUCUGUCCCGUAUUUGUCUCACCUCUGUCUCGUUUUUGUCUCACCUCUGUCUCGUAUUUGUCUCACCUCUGUCUCGUAUUUGUCUCACCUCUGUCUCGUAUUUGUCUCACCUCCGUCUCUGGGAUGUAGUGUGUGCCUCUGAAAGGCCAGAAAACAUGCCGUUCACAGGGUUCCUCCUUGCAUUUAACCUCUUCAGGUAUAAAAUCAAAAAAUAUAUGAUUAGAAUGUUCUUUACUCAACAUCAUAAUGCUGAUGUAACAAUCACUUCUGGUAAUCGAAAGAAAUGGAGUUCUAGAACACUGGCUUAGAAUUUUGAAGAAAAAAAAAACAUUCUAAAAAGCCUCCUCUUCAAAGGGUUAAUUGGCUGAGCCUGACAGACUAAACUGGCCGUACAUUAGUCAUGCUAUCUCACAACAGGCAGCCUGAUUGCUUUAUACAAGAGUGAUUAUGCCCGUCCUAAGUCCUACUGUGCGGACAGUGUGGUUUAAGGAAUGCAGACACAGCUACUAUACAUAAUCAAUGACUCAUUUCAUUGUUGAAAGCCCAUUAAUCAUGGAUAGCUUUUAACUGUGUUAUGACUACAUUAUUAGGUAAUGGCUAUAUUAUUAUACCUUCAAGAAAAUUAUUUGUUCACAAAAGCAAAAGUUUUCUUCAAGUGUUCAAAUUUCAAUUAAAAAUUAAAUCAACCUGAAUGUAAAAAUAUCUGUGUACUUCGUGGAUUUACAGGACUGACGCUAAAAACCUUGGGUACCAGAGGACAAGGGAGCUGAUUCUGACUGUGCGUUAAAGGUGUAGAACAGAAGGUGUGUUGGUGGAGGAGUGUGUGUGUUCUGUAUCCGCUGCUGUGCCUGGUUGCUCUCCCCAGCAGACAA